CCAAUAGCGUAUAUUAAAGUUGUUGCGGUUAAAAAGCUCGUAGUUGAAUUUCGGGAUUGACACAUCGGUCGUGCCUUAAGGGGUAUGAACUGGUGUAGUCAAUUUCUCACCUUCUGGAGAACCGCGAUGCCCUUAAUUGGGUGUCGCGGGGAACCAGGACCUUUACUUUGAAAAAAUUAGAGUGUUUAAAGCAGGCAUUUUGCUUGAAUACAUUAGCCUGGAAUAAUAAAAUAGGACGGCAUGAUUCUAUUUUGUUGGUUUCUAGGAUCACCGUAAUGAUUAAUAGGGAUAGUUGGGGGCAUUAGUAUUCAAUUGUCAGAGGUGAAAUUCUUGGAUUUAUUGAAGACUAACUACUGCGAAAGCAUUUGCCAAGGAUGUUUUCAUUAAUCAAGAACGAAAGUUAGGGGAUCGAAGACGAUCAGAUACCGUCGUAGUCUUAACCAUAAACUAUGCCGACUAGGAAUCAGACGAUGUUAAUUUUUUAAUGACUCGUUUGGCACCUUACG
rnacentral:rRNA from 1 species